GCCUAAAGCAUCCGUAGCCGGCUCUGUAAGUUUUCGGUUAAAUCUAUACGCUCAACGUAUAGGCUGCCGGGAAUACUGCAGAGCUAGGGAGUGGGAGAGGUAGACGGUACUCGGUAGGAAGGGGUAAAAUCCUUUGAUCUAUUGAUGACCACCUGUGGCGAAGGCGGUCUACCAGAACACGUCCGACGGUGAGGGAUGAAAGCUGGGGGAGCAAACCGGAUUAGAUACCCGGGUAGUCCCAGCUGUAAACUAUGCAAACUCAGUGAUGCACUGGCUUGUGGCCAGUGCAGUGCCGCAGGGAAGCCGUUAAGUUUGCCGCCUGGGAAGUACGUACGCAAGUAUGAAACUUAAAGGAAUUGGCGGGGGAGCACCACAAGGGGUGAAGCCUGCGGUUCAAUUGGAGUCAACGCCAGAAAUCUUACCCGGAGAGACAGCAGAAUGAAGGUCAAGCUGAAGACUUUACCAGACAAGCUGAGAGGUGGUGCAUGGCCGUCGCCAGCUCGUGCCGUGAGAUGUCCUGUUAAGUCAGGUAACGAGCGAGACCCUUGCCUCUAGUUGCCACCAUUACUCUCAGGAGUAGUGGGGCGAAUUAGCGGGACCGCCGCAGUUAAUGUGGAGGAAGGAAAGGGCCACGGCAGGUCAGUAUGCCCCGAAACUCUGGGGCCACACGCGGGCUGCAAUGGUAGUGACAAUGGGUUCCGAAUCCGAAAGGAGGAGGUAAUCCUCAAACGCUACCACAGUUAUGACUGAGGGCUGCAACUCGCCCUCACGAAUAUGGAAUCCCUAGUAACUGCGUGUCAUUAUCGCGCGGUGAAUACGUCCCUGCUCCUUGCACACACCGCCCGUCGUUUCAUUGAAGUUUGCUUUUAGCGAGGUGACGUCUAAUUGGCGUUAUCGAACUUGAGGUAAGUGACAAGGGAAAAGUCGUAACAAGGUGACCGUAGGGGAACCUGCGGUCG
rnacentral:rRNA from 1 species